ACCAGACUCCUACGGGAGGCAGCAGUGGGGAAUAUUGCACAAUGGGGGAAACCCUGAUGCAGCAACGCCGCGUGAGUGAAGAAGUAUUUCGGUAUGUAAAGCUCUAUCAGCAGGGAAGAAGAUGACGGUACCUGACCAAGAAGCCCCGGCUAACUACGUGCCAGCAGCCGCGGUAAUACGUAGGUGGCAAGCGUUGUCCGGAUUUACUGGGUGUAAAGGGCGUGUAGCCGGGAAGGCAAGUCAGAUGUGAAAUCCGGAGGCUCAACCUCCGAAUUGCAUUUGAAACUGUUUUUCUUGAGUACUGGAGAGGCAGACGGAAUUCCUUGUGUAGCGGUGAAAUGCGUAGAUAUAAGGAGGAACACCAUUGGCGAAGGCGGUCUGCUGGGCAGCAACUGACGGUGAGGCGCGAAGGCGUGGGGAGCAAACAGGAUUAGAUACCCCAGUA
rnacentral:rRNA from 1 species